rnacentral:rRNA from 1 species
UACGUAGGGGGCAAGCGUUGUCCGGAAUCAUUGGGCGUAAAGAGCGUGUAGGUGGCUCGGUAAGUCCGCUGUGAAAGUCCAGGGCUCAACCCUGGAAAGCCGGUGGAAACUGUCGAGCUCGAGUCCGGAAGAGGCGAGUGGAAUUCCUGGUGUAGCGGUGAAAUGCGCAGAUAUCAGGAGGAACACCAUGGCGAAGGCAGCUCGCUGGGACGGUACUGACACUGAGACGCGAAAGCGUGGGGAGCAAACAGG